GACGAACGCUGGCGGCGUGCUUAAUACAUGCAAGUCGAACGGACAGGCGCUGCGCUUGUGGGGUGCUCGUUUGGCGCACGGGUGAGUAACACGCGUGUAACCUGUCCUUGUCUGUGGGAUAACAUUUGGAAACUGGGGCUAAUACCGGAUAGGAGCUCUUGAAGCAUGGUGGGGGUUGGUAAGAUUCGGCGGUUGGGGCUGGAUUCGCGGGUUAUGGGCUUGUUUGUGGGGUUGGGGCUUACCAAGGCUUUGACGGGUAGCCGGCCUGAGAGGGUGACCGGCCACAUUGGGACUGAGAUACGGCCCAGACGCCUACGGGAGGCAGCAGUGGAGAAUAUUGCACAAUGGGCGGAAGCCUGAUGCAGAAACGCCGCGUGCGGGAUGCCGGCCUUCGGGUUGUAAACCGAUUUCGACUGUGACGAAGCGUGAGUGACGGUAAUGGGUAAAGAAGCACCGGCUAACUACGUG
rnacentral:rRNA from 1 species